rnacentral:rRNA from 1 species
AACGAACGCUGGCGGCAUGCCUAACACAUGCAAGUCGAACGAGACCUUCGGGUCUAGUGGCGCACGGGUGCGUAACGCGUGGGAACCUGCCCUUAGGUUCGGAAUAACUCCCCGAAAGGGGUGCUAAUACCGGAUAAUGUCUUCGGACCAAAGAUUUAUCGCCUUUGGAUGGGCCCGCGUUGGAUUAGCUAGUUGGUAGGGUAAAAGCCUACCAAGGCGACGAUCCAUAGCUGGUCUGAGAGGAUGAUCAGCCACACUGGGACUGAGACACGGCCCAGACUCCUACGGGAGGCAGCAGGGGGGAAUAUUGGACAAUGGGCGAAAGCCUGAUCCAGCAAUGCCGCGUGAGUGAUGAAGGCCUUAGAGUUGUAAAGCUCUUUUACCCGGGAUGAUAAUGACAGUACCGGGAGAAUAAGCUCCGGCUAACUCCGUG